CUUUUAAUUUAUGUUAAAAAAAACAAAACAAGUAGAAUUUUAUUGUUGACAAAUUGUUCAGUUAAGUUAAGUUCAUACAUUAACCAAUCAGAAUGAACGAACUGUAGAUUAACAAAUUGUUUAUUAGUGACACAUCAAAACUUAUCAUUAUAUACGUAGUAUCAAGGUGGCAAUAAAAAAACAUAAGUUGGAGAAGAACAGACACAAACACAGACAAAAUGAAGAAAAUGAAUGAAUGAAAAACGGGACACAAAAACUCCAAAGAUUGAGUAAAGCUAAUCCAACUGAAAGCAGGAAUGAACUCCGUCUUUCCUUGAGAGUAUGUCCACGUUUACCCGUCCCAGUGUAUCCCAAACUCUGUCUGACCGACAAAAUGUAAAAAAAACAUAUUUCGGUCAGACAGAACUUUUAAGAAUUUUUAGUUGAAAUUAUAGUAAUAGUACAGAGGGGGUCAGAAAAGUUCACAUUUCUUUUCGGUCAGACAAAUCCUAAAACAGUUUGUCAAAGACUGUGCGGCGUUCAUACUUUCGAACAUUUGUUUGAAAGCCAUAGAGUACAUGUAUCACAUACAACGAAAAAGUGUGCAGAAGAGUACAUUUCAGGUCAAUCAGUUUUUUUCAGCAAAUUGUUAAAAUGCUUUCAAUGUUCACAAAAUGUUCAAGAGAAGAAGAUGUACUGUUAACUUAUUCAUUUUCUCGGAUACUUUUCUUUUUUAACCGACUUUUUUUUUUUAUUUUCAGAGAGAACUUAUUUUGUUGUUGUACUGAUAGAAGUUUGAUACAGAGAAGCACAUAUUUCGUGACGAUUGCUACGCACUUUUCUAUUUGAGAAUUUAGCGUAAAUAAAUCGUUCACGAAAUUCCAUUGGUUUACAGUACACGUAUACAUAUAUAGGUUUAAAAUAUUGUCAGAAACGUGAUGUAACAAGUUAAACUAUGGUGUAAUUGGAUGGUUUUGGAAAUGUACUGUGAAAGAGUAGUUAAAGGGAUAACAAGAUUACAUACUGACGUAAAAGAUCAGGCGCGUUUACGACAGAUCAGUUUAAACAACUAUUUAUUCAAACCUCAGCUACAAGUAUGCGUGGGUUACAAAAAUAAGGUUAGAAAAUAGAAUGGAAAGGG
rnacentral:lncRNA from 1 species